rnacentral:rRNA from 1 species
AUACGGAGGAUGCGAGCGUUAUCCGGAUUUAUUGGGUUUAAAGGGAGCGUAGGUGGGAUAUUAAGUCAGCUGUGAAAGUUUGGGGCUCAACCUUAAGAUUGCAGUUGAUACUGGUUUCCUUGAGUACGGUACAGGUGGGCGGAAUUCGUGGUGUAGCGGUGAAAUGCUUAGAUAUCACGAAGAACUCCGAUCGCGAAGGCAGCUCACCGGGCCGGAACUGACACUGAUGCUCGAAAGUGCGGGUAUCAAACAGGAUUAGAUACCCUGGUAGUCCGCACAGUAAACGAUGAAUACUCGCUGUUUGCGAUACACGGUAAGCGGCCAAGCGAAAGCGUUAAGUAUUCCACCUGGGGAGUACGCCGGCAACGGUGAAACUCAAAUGAAUUGACGGGG